AGGAUGAACGCUGGCGGCGUGCUUAAUACAUGCAAGUCGAACGAGGAGCUAUUAUCUUCGGAUGAAAGAAUUCCUAGUGGCGAACGGGUGAGUAACGCGUUGGUGACCUGCCCCAAAGAAGGGGAUAACAGUUCGAAAGGACUGCUAAUACCCUAUGUUAUCAGUUGGAUUAGAAGCCUACUGAUUAAAGGAGUAAUCCGCUUUGGGAGGGACCUGCGUCCCAUCAGCUAGUUGGUAGGGUAACGGCCUACCAAGGCAAUGACGGGUAGGGGACCUGAGAGGGUGACCCCCCACAAUGGCACUGAAACACGGGCCAUACACCUACGGGUGGCAGCAGUAGGGAAUAUUGGACAAUGGGCGAAAGCCUGAUCCAGCAACACCGCGUGCACGAUGACGGCCUUCGGGUUGUAAAGUGCUUUUAGAGGAGAUGAGAAAGGACAGUAUCCUCUGAAUAAGCCUCGGCGAACUACGUGCCAGCAGCCGCGGUAAAACGUAGGAGGCAAGCGUUAUCCGGAUUUAUUGGGCGUAAAGCGCGUGCAGGCGGUCUAUCAAGUUGGAUGUGAAAGCUCCCGGCUUAACUGGGAGAGGUCGUUCAAUACUGUUAGACUAGAGAAUGGGAGAGGGAGGUGGAAUUCUGGGUGUAGUGGUGAAAUGCGUAGAUAUCCAGAGGAACACCAGUGGCGAAAGCGGCCUCCUAGACCAUUUCUGACGCUAAGACGCGAAAGCUAGGGUAGCAAACGGGAUUAGAGACCCCGGUAGUCCUAGCUGUAAACGAUGUAGACUUGGCGUUGGCGGAGUUAAAUCUGUCAGUGCCGUAGCUAACGCGAUAAGUCUACCGCCUGGGGACUACGAUCGCAAGAUUAAAACUCAAAGGAAUUGACGGGGACCCGCACAAGCAGCGGAGCGUGUGGUUUAAUUCGAUGCUACACGAAGAACCUUACCAGGGUUUGACAUGUAAGUGGUAGUGAUCCGAAAGGUGAACGACCCCUCGGGGAGCUGACACAGGUGCUGCAUGGCUGUCGUCAGCUCGUGUCGUGAGAUGUUCGGUUAAGUCCGCUAACGAGCGCAACCCUCACUGUGUGUUACAAGUGUCACACGGGACUGCCGGUUUAAGCCGGAGGAGAGGCGAGGAUGACGUCAAGUCAGCAUGGCCUUUAUGUCCUGGGCUACACACACGCUACAAUGGUCGGUACAGUAGGUUGCCA
rnacentral:rRNA from 1 species